rnacentral:tRNA from 1 species
GCAAAUAUAGCUCAGUGGUAGAGUACAUGCUUAGCAUGCACAAGGUCCUAGGUUCAAUCCCCAGUACCUCUA